rnacentral:rRNA from 1 species
AGUGAACGCUGGCGGUAGGCCUAACACAUGCAAGUCGAACGGCAGCACAGUAAGAGCUUGCUCUUACGGGUGGCGAGUGGCGGACGGGUGAGGAAUACAUCGGAAUCUACUUUUUCGUGGGGGAUAACGUAGGGAAACUUACGCUAAUACCGCAUACGACCUACGGUUGAAAGCAGGGGAUCUUCGGACCUUGCGCGAUUGAAUGAGCCGAUGUCGGAUUAGCUAGUUGGCGGGGUAAAGGCCCACCAAGGCGACGAUCCGUAGCUGGUCUGAGAGGAUGAUAAGCCACACUGGAACUGAGACACGGUCCAGACUCCUACGGGAGGCAGCAGUGGGGAAUAUUGGACAAUGGGCGCAAGCAUGAUCCAGCCAUACCGCGUGGGUGAAGAAGGCCUUCGGGUUGUAAAGCCCUUUUGUUGGGAAAGAAAAGCAGCAGGUUAAUACCACGCUGUUCUGACGGUACCCAAAGAAUAAGCACCGGCUAACUUCGUG